GAACACAGAAGUUAGAAUAGUUUAACCGUAUGAUUUAUGCGAACCAAAGCGUGUAUGAGCGUAUGUAAAAUUUGCCGAACGGCAAAACAACCGAAUGAACAUUCGUUUAAAUAACAUGAAUAGGAUAUGCGAAAUGACUAUUGAACGAUUUAAAACAUGUUCAGCCGAAUGACCGUACGAAUGAAAAGCCCGCGAAUGGCUUGAAACAUUUGUGUCAUAACCAGG